UGCACCACAUGUGUUUUUCUUUGAAACAAACUUGCUUUGGCGGUGGGCCCAGCCUGCCGCCAGAGGUCUAAACUUACAACCAAUUUUUUAUCAACUUGUCACACCAGAUUAUUACUUAAUAGUCAAAACUUUCAACAACGGAUCUCUUGGUUCUCGCAUCGAUGAAGAACGCAGCGAAAUGCGAUACGUAAUAUGAAUUGCAGAUAUUCGUGAAUCAUCGAAUCUUUGAACGCACAUUGCGCCCUCUGGUAUUCCGGAGGGCAUGCCUGUUUGAGCGUCGUUUCUCCCUCAAACCGCUGGGUUUGGUGUUGAGCAAUACGACUUGGGUUUGCUUGAAAGACGGUAGUGGUAAGGCGGGAUCGCUUUGACAAUGGCUUAGGUCUAACCAAAAACAUUGCUUGCGGCGGUAACGUCCACCACGUAUAUCUUCAAACUUUGACCUCAAAUCAGGUAGGACUACCCGCUGAACUUAAGCAUAUCAAUAAGCGGAGGAAAAGAUCAUUACUGAUUUGCUUAAUUGCACGCA
rnacentral:rRNA from 1 species